AUUGAACGCUGGCGGCAGGCCUAACACAUGCAAGUCGAGCGGAGAGGCGGACGGGCGAGUAAGGCCUAGGUAUCUGCCUGGUAGUGGGGGAUAACGUCCGGAAACGGGCGCUUAUACCGCAUACUAUUAGAUGAGCCUAGGUCUGAAUAGCUAGUUGGUGGGGUAAAGGCCUACCAAGCACACGAUCCUUAACUGGUCUGAGAGGCUGACCAGUCACACUGGAACUGGGCCCCGGUCCAGACUCCGCCGGGAGGCAGCAGUGGGGAAUAUUGGACAAGGGGCGAAAGCCUGAUCCAGCCAGGCCGCGUGUGUGAAGAAGGUCUUCGGAUGGUAAAGCACUUUAAGUUGGGAGGCGUUACCAACAGAAUAAGCACCGGCUAACUUCGUGCCAGCAGCCGCGGUAAUAC
rnacentral:rRNA from 1 species